rnacentral:lncRNA from 7 species
CGGCCACCCCUGCUCCACGCCCGUAUCUUGCGCUGCGGCCGCACCACCGCGCGUCAUGGCCUAUCUUCUUCGACGACACGACAACACGACCUCUCCGCCCUGUCCUCUACGAUGGCGGCCCCCUUAUCUCCAGCGUCCAGGGGCAAGGGUGGAGGACGCACACCAAUGCACCGCCCUUCCCUUUCCUACUCUUCUCUCUCCUCUAAAGGGAAGGUGAGCACCCAGAUGAUCCUAUAUUUGUCUUCUGCGUGACUUCUUUUUGUUCUUGGAUGGGAUUAUUACGUUUCCUGCUAUGGGAGGUGAUGCGGGUGAGCGGCAACCAGACCUAGUCACUUUGUCCUUGCUCCUGCUCACCAUUGGUCCUUGCAUACUUCAUCCCAUUCGAUGGUGCACAUGUCCUUGCUACUGUUCACCAUUGGUGAUUUAUGGACACAAUACACCUGUCGUUCUUCCUUUUAUGCACCAUCUAAUUGAAUUAUGCAUAUUUAAUUACUCUUUAUAUUGUAGGAUAUCAGUGAGGCGAAUGGGAUAAACUAUGCAAAAAAGAUAUUCAGACUACUGCAAAAUUGAAGGUGUGCAUCCUCAUAUAAAAAUAUUCACUAAAAGUUUGUAACUUACAAUUCAGAUUUAAAAGUAAAUUCUUUUCCAUGACAACAACGAGUAUGUGGUCAACUUGACAAUGAGAUUAUAUAAUGCUUGAAGAAACAAAUUACAAAGCAGUAUGGAUGCAUUACUCCUAACUCUUGCUGAAACACAUGA